AUGAACGCUGGCGGCGUGCUUAACACAUGCAAGUCGAACGAAGCACCUCUAAUCGAAGAUUGAGAAAGCUUGCUUUGAUUGAUUCACCUUGAGGUGACUGAGUGGCGGACGGGUGAGUAACGCGUGGGUAACCUACCCUAUACAGGGGGAUAACAGUUGGAAACGACUGCUAAUACCGCAUAAGCGCACAGGACCGCAUGGUCUAGUGUGAAAAACUCCGGUGGUAUAGGAUGGACCCGCGUCUGAUUAGCUAGUUGGUGAGGUAACGGCUCACCAAGGCGACGAUCAGUAGCCGACCUGAGAGGGUGACCGGCCACAUUGGGACUGAGACACGGCCCAAACUCCUACGGGAGGCAGCAGUGGGGAAUAUUGCACAAUGGGCGAAAGCCUGAUGCAGCGACGCCGCGUGAACGAAGAAGUAUUUCGGUAUGUAAAGUUCUAUCAGCAGGGAAGAAAAAUGACGGUACCUGACUAAGAAGCUCCGGCUAAAUACGUGCCAGCAGCUGC
rnacentral:rRNA from 1 species